UAUUGGGCAAUGGAGGCAACUCUGACCCAGCCAUGCCGCGUGGGUGACGAAGGUCUUCGGAUUGUAAAGCCCUUUCGGCGGGGACGAUGAUGACGGUACCCGCAGAAGAAGCCCCGGCUAACUUCGUGCCAGCAGCCGCGGUAAUACGAAGGGGGCUAGCGUUGUUCGGAAUUACUGGGCGUAAAGGGCGUGUAGGCGGCCCGUUAAGUCAGGUGUGAAAGGCCUGGGCUCAACCCAGGACGUGCGUCUGAUACUGGCGGGCUAGAGUCCGGGAGAGGAUGGUGGAACUCCCAGUGUAGAGGUGAAAUUCGUAGAUAUUGGGAAGAACACCCGUGGCGAAGGCGGCCAUCUGGACCGGUACUGACGCUAAGGCGCGACAGCGCGGGGAGCAAACAGG
rnacentral:rRNA from 1 species